rnacentral:lncRNA from 10 species
GACUGCUGGAUCCCUGCCUCGGAAACCCGGGUCCCACGCCCACAUCUGGGCCCGCACCCCCUCCCUCCCUAGCAGGGGCCCCCCUCCCGCAGGGGACCCACAGCGGGACAGGCCCCGGCGUGUAGCACAGGGCGGCGGCAGAGGUCCAGAAGCCAGGAGGGUAGAGGUGGCCCUGGAGAAAUGGGGUUUGAUGCUCCCCUCCAAGAGGGAACCGCUUGGGGACAGGCUUCAGGACUGGGACAAGUGAAUUUCAGAGAAGAAAAAGGCCUCCCACAGAGAAUGGCCAAGCCAGGUCACUGCUAUUUCCCAACAGAAAUGAAAACUGGAAUUGAGCCAUGUGGAAAGAUGGACCAGGCCACAAGAAGGUCUUCGGGACAACCCUGAAAGAGGUGACCCAGGGAGACAGAGUCCAGGGUCCUUUCAAAUCACUGCUGGCAGGAGCAAAGAUCAAGAUAGGUGAAACCUGAUAUUCAAAUGCAGGCGUGGAAAAAGAAUAGGGUUUACUUAUAGUUCUGUCCCUGGCGAAGAGAGAAGACACCCCUGGAGCUCAUACCACAUGAACUUCUGCCUCCUCGAAGAACUGAAGCCAUUCUCAUCCAGACGUUUUGGGUCAUCUGCAUGCGCUGGGCUCCUUCGCCCUAGUUCAGUGCUUCUCAAACUUUCAGAAUCACCUGGAGAGCUUGUGAAAAACAGAUGGCUGAGCCCCGCCCGCGGAGUUUCGGAUCCAGUAGGUUUGGGGUGGUGCCCCACGGUUUGCAUUUCUUAGUUUCCUGGUGAUGCCGAUGCUGCUCGCCCAUCAAGCUCACUUUGAGAAUCACUGAUGGAGUUAGACCCACCUACUACGCUCUCUGCACACACCCCAGAGAGCUCUCAGAGAGAGAGCGCUGCUGGGGAAAUCACUCAACCCUGUCCUAGGGGCUGUCUGUCCCACCCUGCUGUCCCUUCUGAGACACGGGAGGCAUCCUGCUCCUAGCAAAAGCCAUUCACUCCACUGUGCCCCUCCUCCUUCAGUUCUCCCUCCUCUCCUGUUUCUUCCAUCUCUCCCUGUCUCAUGGACUGUUCCCAUAAAAAUACACACAUUUUCCAGCCGCUCUCAUCUAAACAAAACAAGGUUACCCUAACCUCCUUAUCUGCCUCCAGCGACCACGCCCCUCCUCCGUGAUAUUCACAGCAAACCUUCUUCAAGGCUUGUGGGUCCUUCCCAUCCCCAGCUCCUUCCUUCCCAGCCCACUGCAGGCCAGCUUCCUUUUCCAGCACCUCCCACGUGGCCAAAUCCGAUGGUCCCCACCUCGCUCAAUCUCUCAGAAACAUCCAGUCCACUGACCGCUGCCUCCCUCUGGGAAGGCUUUCUGCUGUAGACGUCUCGGACCCUACACUCUCCCGGUUUUCCUCCUGCCUCACGGGACAAUGCUCCUCUGAAUGUGGGAGGGCCCCUCUUGGUCCUGACUGCCUCCCCUUCCCCACACUCUCGCUAGCCCCAUGGCUUCAACGUGGUGUCUGCUGAAUCUACGUCUAGAGCCCUGGUCACUCGCUAGAGCUUGGAUUUUUAUCAAACUACCUCCUGAGCACCUCAAACUUAACAUGGCCAAAAUAAAAUUCUUGAUUUCUUCUGCCCAACAUGUGUGUGUGUGCAUGUAGUAAAAGAUACAAAGCACAACAUUUAUCAUUUUAAUCUUUCGUGAGACAGGGUCUCGCUCUGUUGCCCAGGCUGGGGUGCACUGGCACAAUCAUAGCCAUCCUCCUGCCUGGGCUCAAGCCAUCCUCCUGUCUCAGCCUCCUGAAUAGCUGGGACUACAGGUGUGUGCCACCAUACCUGGCUUUAUUUAUUUAUUUGUUUAUUCAUUUAUUUAUUUUUGUAGAGAUAGGGUCUCCCCAUAUUGCCCAGGCUGGUCUCAAACUCUUGGCCUCAAGCUCCCUCCCAAAACACUGGGAUUACAGGCAUGAGCCACUGCGCCCAGCUCAUGUUAACCAUUUUUAAGUGUGUAGUUCAGUGGCAUGCAGUGUAUUCACAAUUCGUGUGUCCAUUACCACUAUCCAUUUCCAGAACUCUUUCACUAACCCAAGCUCAAAUUCUGUGCUCUUUACACAAUGACACCCCCCUGCCCCACCUCCAGCCCCUGGUGACCACUAUUCUGCUUUCUGUCUCUAUGAAUCUAUGGUGGGCACCUCACAUACGCAGACUCACACGAUAUUUGUCCUUUGUGUCUGCCUGCCUGUCUUUUCCUCCCUCAAGUUCUAUCAUUCUUCAAUUGCCUAAGAAUACUCCCCAGCAAAUAGAAUUGGUGAUUGGCAGGCUGCUCCAAGAAGGUUUCUGAGCUGUUGUUCUUCAGUAUUAUUAUUAUUUUUUCCUUUUUUAAUGAGACAGGGUCUUGCUAUGUUGCCCACACUGGUCUUGAACUCCUGGGCUCAAGCGAUCCUCCUGCCUCCCAAAGUGCUAGGAUUACAGGUGUGAGCCACCACACUCAGUCUCUUCAGUAUUAUUUUUUCAGGCAUUUCUGUUUUGUUCCUUAAAAUUUGUAAAUACAGAAAAUAAAAUAAAAAUAACCAAGAAAGACAAACACCAUGCUCCUGCUUCUCAGAUAUGAUUAUUGUGAACAUUAUAUGUCAUUUGCCUUGUCAUUCUUUUUUUGUAGACAGGCACAGUGGUUCAUACCUGUAAUCUCAGAGCUUUGGGAGGCCGAGGCAGGAGGAUCGUUU